CACACAGAUCUGCUGUGACCGAGCUACAUGACCUUAAACGAGACAAAGAAUUCAUUCAUGCGUUUGUUCAACAAAUAUUCAUUAAGGGUCUACUAUGUGAUUCAUAUUCAGGAAACAGCAUUGAACAAAAUAAUAGAACUCUUCUCAUGGAACUUGCAGUCCCAUGAAGAUCGUAGAAAUGGAAAGACCCUUUGGGAUCACCCAGUCCAAUUCUCCCAUUGACAGAUAGAAAGACAGAGACCCACACAGAGGAAGGGAUUUGCCCAAAGUUACAUACACAACAAGUUGGUUAGUGGCAAAGCUGGACUAAAGCCCAGCUCUUCAUAUGACCCACUACAACAUUUCACAAAUGGGAA
rnacentral:lncRNA from 1 species